AAGGCUGUACGGCCUAUCUAGCCAGUGUGAUUGAAACUAAGAAGGAAGGUCUUAGUGUGUCAAACCUACCCACAGUGUGUGAUUUUCCAGAUGUAUUUCCUGAAGAGUUGCCAGGGUUACCUCCAGAAAGGGAAGUGGAUUUUGCUAUAGAAGUUGUGCCAGGCACUGCACCUAUUUCAAUUGCUCCUUACAGAAUGGCUCCUACAGAAUUGAAAGAGUUGAAAAUACAGUUACAAGAGUUACUUGAUAAGGGCUUUAUUCGACCUAGUGUUUCACCAUGGGGUGCACCAGUGUUGUUUGUGAAAAAGAAAGAUGGAUCUCUUCGAUUGUGCAUUGAUUACAGACAAUUGAAUAAGGUAACUAUAAAGAAUAAAUAUCCACUGCCCAGAAUAGAUGAUUUGUUUGAUCAGUUAAAAGGGGCCAGCAUUUUCUCUAAGAUAGAUUUGAGAUCGGGCUACCAUCAGUUGAGAGUUAAAGGGACAGAUGUGCCUAAGACUGCAUUCAGAACACGAUAUGGACAUUAUGAGUUUCUGGUUAUGCCAUUUGGGUUAACAAAUGCACCUGCAUCAUUCAUGGAUCUAAUGAAUCGUAUCUUCCAUCCAUAUUUAGACCAGUUUGUUGUAGUAUUCAUUGAUGAUAUUCUGGUAUACUCUAAAACUAGAGAAGACCAUGACAGACAUUUGAGGAUAGUAUUACAGACUCUGAGGGAAAAACAACUUUAUGCUAAGUUCAGUAAAUGUGAUUUUUGGCUCAAUGAAAUAGCAUUUUUGGGACAUGUUGUAUCAGCAGAGGGAGUUAGGGUAGAUCCUCAGAAGAUUAAAGCUGUUCUGGAAUGGAAGCCACCAAAGAAUGUUGCAGAGGUCAGGAGUUUCUUGGGUCUAGCUGGGUAUUACAGACGGUUUGUAAAAGGGUUUUCACUUAUAGCAGCUCCAUUGACUAAAUUACUACAUAAGAAUGUUAAGUAUGUUUGGGAUGAUAGAUGUCAGGCAAGCUUUGACAGAUUGAAGACUAUGCUCACCGAAGCACCUAUACUUACACAACCUAUUUCUGGCAAGGAAUUUGUGAUAUACAGUGAUGCUUCUCACAAUGGACUUGGAUGUGUUUUGAUGCAAGAAGGUAAAGUGAUUGCUUAUGCUUCUAGACAACUGAAGCCACAUGAGAAGAACUAUCCUACUCAUGAUCUAGAGCUGGCUGUCAUAGUUUUUGCACUAAAGAUCUGGAGACAUUACUUAUAUGGUGAGAAAUGUUAUAUCUAUACAGAUCAUAAAAGCCUGAAAUACUUGCCCACACAGAAGGAGCUAAACUUGAGACAGCGAAGAUGGAUGGAAUUACUGAAAGAUUAUGAUUGCAUUAUAGAUUAUCACCCAGGCAAAGCUAAUCUGGUAGCAGAUGCACUUAGCAGGAAAUCCUUAUUUGCAUUAAGAGCGAUGAAUGCGCGGUUGACUAUGUCAGAUGAUGGAGCUAUCAUAGCAGAAUUGAAAGUUAGACCCAGCCUACUACAACAAAUUAAAGAAGCACAAAAAGAAGAUACAGAGAUAGCUUCAUGGACUAGACAAGUACAAGAGGGAAAGAAGCAGAAGCAUGUGAUAAGUGAUGAUGGCUACUUGUACUAUGGUGACAGAAUAUGUGUACCUAACAUUGGAGAGCUGAAACAGAGUAUUCUUACAGAGGCACACAACAGUCCAUAUGUUAUGCAUCCAGGUAGCACAAAGAUGUAUCAAGAUCUGAAGAUGCACUAUUGGUGGCCAGGCAUGAAAAGAGAUAUAGUUGAAUUUGUAACAAAAUGUUUGACAUGUCAACGGGUAAAAGCAGAACAUCAGGUUCCAUCAGGGUUGUUGCAGCCUAUCGCUAUACCAGAAUGGAAAUGGGAUAGAAUUACCAUGGAUUUUGUAACAGGAUUGCCUCUCACACCAAGGAAGAAAGAUGCCAUUUGGGUAAUAGUUGACAAGUUAACUAAAUCAGCGCAUUUCUUGCCAAUCAGAAUGGAUUAUACAUUAGAAAAGUAUGUAGAAUUAUACAUUAAUGAAAUUGUGAGACUGCAUGGUGUUCCUAUCUCUAUCAUAUCAGACAGAGAUCCAAGAUUCACAUCCAGAUUUUGGGAAAAACUACAUGAAGCUCUAGGGACAAGAUUGAAUUUUAGUACAGCUUUUCAUCCUCAGACAGAUGGCCAGUCAGAGAGAGUAAUUCAAGUUUUGGAAGAUAUGCUCAGAAGUUGUGUAAUUGAAUUUGAAGGAAGCUGGGAAAGAUAUCUCCCACUAGUAGAAUUUGCUUACAACAAUAGUUAUCAGGCUAGUAUUAAAAUGGCUCCCUAUGAAGCAUUGUAUGGCAGAAAAUGUAGAACCCCAUUGUGCUGGACAGAACUCAGUGAAGCUAAACUUGUAGGUCCAGAGUUGAUAAGACAGACUGAGGAGAAAGUGAAGAUUAUCAAAGAAAGAUUGAAAGCUGCAACAGAUAGGCAAAAAUCAUAUGCAGAUUUGAAAAGAAAAGAUAUAGAAUUUGCUAUUGGGGAUAAAGUGUUUUUGAAAGUUUCUCCAUGGAAGAAAGUGCUAAGAUUUGGCAAGAAAGGUAAGCUAAGCCCUCGGUUUAUUGGUCCAUAUGAUGUAAUUGAGCGUGUGGGUCCAGUAGCCUACAGGCUAGCUUUACCUCCAGAGUUAGACAGAAUACAUAAUGUCUUCCAUGUAUCCAUGCUAAGAAGAUACAGAUCUGACCCAUCACAUGUCAUUCCAGUUGAAACCAUUGAUGUACAGUCUGACCUGACUUAUGAAGAAGAACCAGUGAAAAUUUUAGCAAGGGAAAUAAAAGAGUUAAGGAAUAAGAAGAUUCCCUUAGUGAAAGUGUUGUGGAGAAAUCACAAGGCAGAAGAAGCUACAUGGGAGAGUGAAGAGGUGAUGAAGCAACAAUAUCCACAGCUAUUCAAAGCAGGUAAAAUUUCGAGGACGAAAUUUCCUAAGAGGGGAAGAGUUGUAACAUCCUCAAACCCAUAGCUAGAGCAGUGACAUCAUUAGGUAUGAGUUAGGCUAUUUCACUACUAGAGUAAGUGGCAUUAGGGGAGGUGCUAGCUUAACUCUAAACUGCUAAUAACUGAAUCAUAGAAAACUCAAAUAAAGAAACGGAUAUAUCUAGAAAUAAAGCAGACAGUGUGAUUAGCGAGUCGGGAAUGAGUCACGUUCGGGAGGUGCUUAGGGUUUCCCGACGUGCUUGCUUGAGGUGCUUGUUUAAGUCUGUUAUGCUAGCUUAAGUGAAAAGGACUUCUAAAUGCUAAAAGCAUAUUUUAGUAGGUCAAUCUAUGAUUAUGGAAAGUUUAAAAACUAAAUUGAAACAUGGUAAAGAGUUUAGUGGGUUAAAGUAUAAAUAUGGAAAGUUAAAACAUAAAAGUCAAAUUUUACUUUCCAUGUGUCACCUAGCUAAUGGAUGAAGAAAUGACCAAGCAAAUUAAAAGGUGGGUUGUCUUCUUCCUUCAUCCACAUUGCCGUAGGUCAUCCAUGUUCAAAGAAGAAGAAAUUUUGCUUUUCUUUCUCCCACCAAAACCAAGCCAAAACCUCACCAAAUCAAUUUCUUCCUUCAACCAAAAUUCAUCCUAAGACCUAGAUCUAAAGGAAGAGCCAUAUAUUGAAGGGAUUGAAGAAGAAAAGUUUAGGGUUCCAUAUACACCAAGCUUGAAAAUCAAAGGUAAGCUUAGAAAUGUGUAGGAAAUAACAUCUUCUCAUUUCUUUAUGCAUGGAUUUGAAUUAUAAAGCUUUAAUUUAUAGUUUAUUCAAUCCUUUCCUAAGACAUAAAUUGACCUAGGUGAAGGAACAUCAAAGGGAAAGGAGAUAGCUAGAGAUUAGAAGAGGAAAAGAAAGGAGAAAUUCAAGAAAGGUUUGGUGUUUGUAUGAUUUCCUGUUUUCUUUUGAUUUUUGCCAUGAACAAGUGAGAUUAGAGGUUGAUUUUACUUGCUGGAAAUGUUGCUUUGGUUGUAUAAAUAUGUUAUAUGAAUGUUUAAAUGAUGUUUUAAAGGCUUAGAGUAAAGAAAUUUAACAUGAGAGCUAAAAGUGCAAAUCUGGCAGAAUAGGUUCUAACAGGACAGUCAGUGUUGGAAGCCUUCUAACUUAUUGUGUAUUUAUUGAAAUUAGUCAUAAGAUAUACCAAAUGAAAGCUGAGACAAAGAGCUAAAACUUUCAUGAAUUGACCAAAUUCGAAAUCUGUAGAGAAGAUGAUGAAAAUUUUAAGUGAACCUAAACUGGACACAGAGUUAGUGCAUCCGGAACAGUGUGUAUUGAUUAUACCAUAACUAACUAUGUACUCAGUGGAAUUGGUUAAUACCAGUGCCAAUUGAAUUUUAAGAAGUAUACCUAACACUUUGUAGGAGACACUUAAGCUUGAAUAUGUAUGAAAAUGCAUGAAUUUGAUAUGUUUUGUGAUAUUAUAAACAAAUGCCAAUAUUGGACUGGUUAAGAUCUUAUUGAGCAGCUUGUAAAGAAAAAUUCAUAACUUAAGCUAGAAUGAUCAGAUUUGCAUGAAUUAUACCUUGUUGGAAAGAUAAGACAUAGAGGUACAUUUGUUAUGAAGAAACUGAAGUCAGAUUGUGACUUUAAGCUGCUUGAAAAGUUUAUGCAAUAUAUGGCAGAAUGCAAUUUCCUAUAUUGGAAUGCAAAGUCAAUAAAGUUUUGCACCAUUUGCUAUGAAUUUCUCAUCUUGUUGACUUUGACAUAUGAUAUAUAUGUACUUUGGAAAUGAAUUCAAAUAGCUUCAAAUGAUAUGCAAUUACAUUGAGUUAAUGAUACUUGGCCCUGGUAAACGUAAUAGGAAUCGAGGUUAGCUUAAGGGUAUGGCAUGCCAUAUAAACAUACAGAGUUCGCAGUACUGCUACCGAUACAUGAUUUUUAUUUGAGGUUACAUAUCAGGUACCUCAUAAGCACGGUCACAGAGCCCUGCUAUCACAGUUCUGGCCUCUGAGCCUACCGUUCGGCACUCUGUGCCUACCGUUAUAACUCCUUAUCUACCUAGUCGAUCCUACUAUGUGUUUAUAAGGGCUAAGAUCUUAAUUAAGAUUGAUACUUGAUUUUGUGAACUUAUUAGUGAGUGUUAAUAUGUUUGCAUCUCUUAUAUGCACUAAGCUGUGGUAAUUUGUUAUAAAUAGAAAAUGUGCAAUAACGGAAAAAGAAGAUGUUUUUAUUCCGAUUAUCUGUAUACGUGAACUUGUUUGCUCUAUUUCGUUAUUUGUUUGUUAUCACCCACUGAGCAUUAGCUCAGCGUGUUGGUUUUUACCUCACGCAGGUUGUAGAUAAAAUAGAGGCAACAGAAGUUAUCAGAGAUCUACAUCAGAUAUCAAGGCCAUCAUCAUAGCUGGUUGUUUUGAGUCUCUGAGUCAUAGUGCAGCUAUAUUUUGGCAUGUACAUAUUUAAUAGAAUGAGUUGUAAAGGUUAUGUAAUCAACGAAUAGUAAGAUAUCAAAUGACAGUUGUUAGUGAAUUAUAAGUGUGAUUUUUAUAUGUAUUACAGGUUAAAGUGCUAAUGAAACAGAGAAAACUCUGCCGAAAAUUUUGGUUUAGAAAUCUCACAUUUAUUUUAAUCACUUGAU
rnacentral:lncRNA from 1 species